rnacentral:rRNA from 1 species
AUUGAACGCUGGCGGCAGGCCUAACACAUGCAAGUCGAGCGCGCGACGGGCGGGUGAGUAAUGUCUGGGAACCUGCCUGUGGGGGAGGGAGAACUACAGGAGACGGUAACUCCUACCGCAUACCAUCAGCUGUACCCAGAUGGGAUUAGCUAGUUGGUGGGGUACUGACUAACCCGGGGGACGAUCCCUAGCUGGUCUUAGAGGAUGACCAGCCACACUGGAACUGCGACCCGGUCCAGACUCCUACGGGAGGCCGCAGUGGGGAAUAUUGCACAAUGGGCGCAAGCCUGAUGCAGCCAUGCCGCGUGUGUGAAGAAGGCCUUCGGGUUGUAAAGCACUUUCAGCGGGGAGGCGGGACCAGCAGAAGAAGCACCGGCUAACUCCGUGCCAGCAGCCGCGGUAAUAG